ensembl:lncRNA
GUGCAUAUCACAGUACACAAAGUGCGUAUCACAAUACACAAAGUAUCGUUAAAAGAUAUCAAGCUGUUUCAUGUUGUUUCCAGACGUAAUGCUAAGCUAGCCAGCUAUUAGCGCUAGCUUUGUAUUUCAGGUACAGACUUGGGAGCGGUACUAAACUUGUCAUCCAAAUGGCCUUCAGGCACAAUUCUUUCCUGUGCGAUUCAAUUGGACGUCAAUAAAGUUUUUGUACAAAAAUAUUUUUCUUUUCUUUUUCCAUUAUUGGGUUUUCCUCUUUUUCUUUCACAGGACAUAAAAAGGCAUCAAUCCACGUCUGUUCAUACCUUUCACAAUAAAAGCCCAUGACCAAUAAAAUAAAGAUUCUGCGUUAUAAUGUUGUGUAUCAGGCCCCCUUCGGUAAAGGCCUUCACCAAUAAGUGUUCUGACAAAAUGAGAACUCAUAACGUGCAGAACAGACAUUUACAAGGAGCUGUUUUGGUUUUGGAAAAACCGAUGUAGGUUAGAUCCGAAAACGACUUAUUGAAAGUCUGUUGAGCCUCUGGUGGCAACACAGUCACAACAAGCUAACACGCUAACUAGCUAAUACGUUAACAACAAGUUGGCCAGCGAGCGGCGAACAGCUGUUUGGGUACCAGAUACCGAGAUACCGUCAGAAUCCUUCGGUGAUAUGGAUUUUUGGCCGUACCCGAUGCAGCACGAGCAGCAACCCCGUCGGCUUUGGAGGUCUGCCUGACCAAAGCAGGAUCUUUGGAUUGCACUGAAAAUAAAAAAACAUUCCGGACGGAAAGUUGAUGAAUCCGUAACGAUAACUUUUGGAGACAGCGAGACGGAGCAUCGUUAAGUGUUAUGAGUGCGGGGGGGGCAAGAAAGGAGAAAAGGAAGAAAAACAGAGCAACAGGCCGAGGCACUGGGGGUGAAAGGUCACCGCCCCGACACGUGUAGUUAGUUGAACCUUCAACUUUCGGCGGAGGUCACGGCCGCGAAACUCAGAGGGGAAGCGCUUUAUUGUGUAAGGUUACGAGCUCCUCACCAGCGCUGUUAGGAGCUCCUAAAUCACACACACACACACACACACACAGACACACACACACGCGCACACACACACACACACACACACACACACACACACACACACACACACACACACACACACACACACACACACACAAACGGGGAACUUGGCCUCCAUUACGGCCCUGUUUACUGGAAAUGCUGCUCACUGGAGACGAUAAAGACUUAUGAUGCAUACCGGGCUCCUGAUGCAGCUCCCAUUACCGGCAGGCAACGCGUGGACCACAAACACAAAGGGGUGACGGGGUGAACAGCUCGCGCAUGUCACUUAAAACCGGACAGAACGAGGGACACGAAGGACGCGUCCUUCACGGAGCUACUGUGCACGGCGACGGGCCCGGGCGCUUCGUUUAUUUGUUGUCGGCUGCGCGCGGAUCGUGUGCGUGCAUUUUUUCAUUUGGAAGCCAUCUCCUGUGUUUUUUCCCGUUGCAGAGCACAGAAGCGUGUGGUGUGGAAGCUCAAAGCUCUCGCCCACAUCAAGAGAAACCAUCCGGCCUUACAGCCACAAGCCCCCCCCCCCCCCACCCAUCAGGCGUAAUAACAGAGCCAUCAAAUAGCCAUAUUUAUAAUCUCCGAACGGGCCAAUUUUAAAGUGGUCAGCUCCAGAGGUAAAGGAAUUGUUGAGAGCAAUUUGCGGUUUUCAUUCUUAAAGAGCCACCAUCCCAGUGGCAAAUGAAAUAAAGUCCGUAUCCCUUUUUCUCCCAUUUGUCAAUAAGAAAAAGCUGGGUUCAAUUACGUAUUUGGCUUUAUUGUAAUAUCACUUUGUAAGUGAUUUAUCUAAAUUGGGUUGGGCAAAAAUAAUUGUUUUAUAACUCGGCUCCGUGUUUGUCCUUCCAAAAAGCCUCAUCAGCCUGGUGCUGUGAACCGCUUCAGUAACGAGCCGCUCAUUUAUCUUUAUCUGCUGGGGUUAAAUUAACCCGUUCAUCGUAACAACGUCUUUCCAGGUCGCCGUUAGAGUCGACCGUGCUCGUCGGCACUGAGCCCCCCCCCCCCACCCCACCUCGCAUUUCAGCGGUAGAAGCAGAAUGGAGGCGAAUAGCAUCUGGUUUAGCAGCAUUCUGAGAGCAGAGGCAGCAGCAGAUCAGCAUACAUGAAUACAUUUCAUCUGGUCAUUACUGUGCAGUUAUGGAGCCAGGCGUGUUUCCAGCCUCCCGUCACUCGCCGGGAUCUGACACUGAUGAAAAAUGCAGUGCGCUCCGAUCGCCGCAACAUUAGCAUUCUGCUUUCUCCUUAUGUUGAGAUGGGAUGAUCGAUGUAGCUCGCUCUUACAUGUUUGGCUCCUCUGUGACUCGUAGAUGUACGACGAAUUAUUUUAUAUAAAGUUAAAAGUUGUACACAUAGAUGUUUUUAGUGUAGUAUACAGGACUGAAAUAACCCGACAGGUUUGGCCCCUAUUAGGCUUUCCUCGAAAAAAGUUAUUAUCAGUAUUUAUGGUGAUUAUUUGAUGACACACAAACAGGGAAAUUAAACAGUAUCAUAAAUAUAAAAGGGUAUCAUUUUGGUGGCCUCUCAAAGGCAUGAUAUGGCCACAAGAUGAGGUAAAACACUUUAUCUUAGUUAGAAUAAGUCAAUUGUUAUGGAUGAAUAAACUGAAGCCGGAGGUCUGGGACACUUUUUCCUGCAGAUCUUGGUGAUGGAAAAAAGAAAAUGAACCUUUGAACAAUUAGCAAAUUGUUUGUGUAGUCCCCUCAUAAAAUAGGCAGGGAUAUAUAUUUACAUCACUGACGAGAAUCCUUAUGAAGCAAUGCCAAUGACAGCUUUUUCAGCUCCAUUUGUCAAAAAAGAAAUGACAGGUUUGGCUCAAUAUCACUGCACAGCAAUGUAACAAAAUAUUAAGGGUGAAUAACUCGGGGCGCUGAAUGGUUACAGAGCAUACCGCAUACCCACAGAGUGCCUGGUUCCAUUUCUGCUGGGAAAUAUGUGAAAUCCCACUCGCUCUAUUGUUGCAGUGGCUGUCCAAUACAGGCAGAGCACAGUACAGUACCAGUCAAAGGUUUGCACACAAUUCCUCGUUGACUCGAAGGAGGAAACGUGUCCAAACCUUUAACUGGUACUGUACCUAUAAUUAUAAACAUGAAUACCACCAUCAUUCUUGAAUGUGAUUUAAGGGCUAUGUGAGGUCCUCAUACAUGUUCAUCCAGUCCAAACAACCUAACACUCAAACAGCGUUGGCACGUUUCCUGAGUCUUUCUUGGCACACGUUGUUUUGGGAGAAUAACAACGUGUACAGCGUGUAAACAUCUGCAUUAAUAUUCAGUGGCGCAUGAUUGGUCCCUGACUCUGAAAUGACGGGACCAACCGUCUUAAGGGCAUUGUUUACUGCUGCCCUUUCCUGACAGACCUCGUGAGGGGUUUUCGUGGCGAUUAACUCCAGCCGCCUUUCAUCUGGCCCGUCCUUUUCUUCUCGCUCUCUGCCUUUGAGUUGUGCUCGCGCAUGCCCCCCUCGUAAUCAGCCGUUGUGAUAUUUAAAUGAGGACAGAAAAACAUUGUUCGCACAUGUGCAGUUGAUGACCGGAAUACAUGAAGGGACAGCUGGCACGAAAAUGGCCUCUCAUUUUUGCUUUGUAAAAAAAAAAAAAAAAGGUGUGGGGGGGAUAAAAUGAACAGAAGUGAAGCAUAAGGAAGAAAUAUUGUGGGAAGAAAAGAGGCCAAACGCAGGGAGCCGUGGAGCUGUUAAAACACGGCCAAAUUACACGACUGUCUGAGCAGGAAGGAAGCCGGGCUUUAUACACUGCUCAAUAACUUCCUGUUUAACAUCCGCAAAUCACAAAAGGACCUUUUUUUACAAAAAAGACCCGGUGUCAUCUAAACACUGCCUGUGUAUUUAUGUGACUGCGCUCGUAGGAAGCUGGAUGGGAUGUGUGUAUCACAUAGAGGAGGAUGUUAUCAACAUGGCGGCGAUGAGAGACGAAUGGCACCCCGAGGGGGCCGGCUCGGGCCCCUGCACGGGAUGCGCUGCCACCCACUAAAAAUAUGACCCCUGGAUACUUUUUAGUUUUCUCCCCCGACUCCUGACUCUGGCGGUAAAUCAGCAGCCGGACAGCGAGGCCCGGGACUUGGCAGAGAAUCUGACGAGCCUCCAGCGACUCGGCCCGUCCGUCACCCCGCCGCCGCUUAAUUAAUGUAGCGAUGGAGCGCCGCGUAGCAUAACGUGCACAUAGCCCCCUCUAUCUGAGCCUUCCCGGGCUUGUUAUUCUUGGUCCCCGGGUAAGGAUACUUCCCUGUGUACGCUGGGAUAUUUAUAGGUAAAUGCAUCUAUUAAAAUGCACGAGGACGAAUUAAAAAAACAAAUAAAUGCGAAGGUGCUUGGAAUGUUUGGAAAGGGGAUUUUUCAGUUUGAUGUGUUUUCACUGGGUAGCUGUCGAAUUUAUCACUUUCACUUAUGUUGGUGUUACUCCGUUGGCUCGUUUCAUCAUUGAGAACACACGGGCCGUUUCUGCUGCGCAGCCUUUUCACUUUCACGAGGAUUCCCGCUCGCUGCAGUGUGAAAUAUGCUCAGGAGGCGACCCGAACGGAGUUAGGUAACCGCUCCGACAGAGGGAAUAAAAAGGCUCACUUUAAGCAAAAGAUGGAUGACAGAGAGCUGCCUGUAAAUCUCUCGACUGUGGAGGACCUUCACGGAGGCUUCUAUCCCCUCCAGCUCAUUGCUCAGAAUCAGACGCGCGAGUUCCUCCGAGCAAAAGGGGGGAACUGCAUCAAUCUGACAGGCCCAGGUAGAGGUUAAUGCCUCCCCAUUUGUAACUAUUUGCUCUUUGUUAUGCCACAUCCCUCGCUUGUAAAGACUUCAUAAAUCACCUGCAGCGUCGAUCCUCGGCCAUUCUAAAACUAGAGACAGGCUGAUUUACGGCCACGACUUCUAACAGAUUUCUCAUCCUUUAUCCUCCGGUAACCCCCCCCCUUUUCUGAGGCAACUAUUCCCUUAAGUCUCUUUUCUCACUCUCUCUCACACACGGGGAAAUAAAUCUACUCUCAGGGAGGACUAAUAGGAUGUGACAUCAUUUAUGAAUGACUGGGGGUCAAGUGUGACAUGCCAACCCUUUGAAGAAGGUAGUUUUUCAGUGAAACAUUUCGAAGCUUCUGAAACUAGUUUACGGGUGUUUUUUUUUUAUAUUUUGGGUUGGGCUAUUGUAUUUUAGCCCUCCGGGCUUCCUUUUAGGGAUGCUCCAUUUGAUCACCUGCUUAUCGUUAUCCAGUAUUCAGGAGAAAUACGCAGUCGAGAGGUUGGC